rnacentral:rRNA from 1 species
GAUGAACGCUAGCGGCAGGCUUAAUACAUGCAAGUCGAGGGGCAGCACGGUUAGCAAUAACUGGUGGCGACCGGCGUACGGGUGCGUAACACGUAUACAAUCUACCUUAAACAGGGGGAUAGCCUUUCGAAAGAGAGAUUAAUACCCCGUAAUAAAUUGAACGGCAUCGUUUGAUUUUGAAAGCUCCGGCGGUUUGAGAUGAGUAUGCGUCUGAUUAGCUAGUUGGUGAGGUAACGGCUCACCAAGGCGACGAUCAGUAGGGGAUCUGAGAGGACUAACCCCCCACACUGGUACUGAGACACGGACCAGACUCCUACGGGAGGCAGCAGUAAGGAUAUUGGCAAUGGAGGCAACUCUGAACCAGCCAUGCC